CUGGCGCUCAGAUCCCACGAACAGAACGGGGGGUUUUCUGCUAUAGAAAGUUUUAUUCGGCACUUUGGUGUAUCAUCCCUGAUAGCGGCCAUGUUCUGAGGUCGGUCAAUGGGCAGCGGGACCUCCACUUGAUACUCAUGGAGCGGAGGUCGGCUAUAACAGUGCACGAAUCCCCGCUCUCAGCCUGGUUGUCCUGGCCAUUCGGGAGACGAAGGGCGACCGCCCGCAAGGUGGUACUUAACCUGUGGUUAACCACAAGAGCCGCGUUCUAAUUGCUGCCACAUGCCGGAAUGCAGGUGGUCUUUUUGGGGAAGACUAAGGCUGUCCAGACCAAGGAAUUAUGCUGGACUGAGGUAUGUUUGCCGUGAUAACCCGUCGGCAUUGCCAUUCUGCUUUCCGGGUCGGUAGGUGAUAGUAAAGUUAAAGGGUUGUAAAGAUAAGCUCCAGAGUAAAAGUCUGCCAUUAUCCCCAGCGACCCGGUUCAGCCAUACCAACGGGUUAUGGUCUGUAACCAGAGGGAACUCUUGUCCAUACAAGUAGGGGGUUAAUUUCUUUAGUGCCCACACCAGGGCCAAGCACUCCUUUUCCACUGCGGCAUAGCUGACCUCGCUUGGCAGGGGUUUUCGGCUAAUGUAAGCGAUCGGGUGCUCUUUUCCAUCAUCUCCUACUUUUCUGAGAACGGCCCCCAGCCCGAACAUGGAAGCGUCUGUAUGAACAAUAAAGCGUUUAUUAGGGGCCGGGGCAGCCAAGACAGGAGCAUUAAUUAGGGCACUUUUGGGCGUUUGAAAGGCUGUUUCACAGUGGGGAGACCACAGGACCUGUCAGGGAAGAUUUUUCUUUGUCAAGUCAGUCAGGGGUUUAGCAAUAGAACUAUAAUCCGGUACGAACCGCCUGUAGUACCCAGCUGUGCCUAAGAAGGCUAGUACUUGGGUCUUAGUGUGUGGUGAGGGCCAAUUCCCGACCGCCUCUAUCUUGGCCGGCUCCGGUCGUUGCUUCCUGCACCCCACUCGGUGACCCAUGUACUGCACCUCAGUCAUUCCAAAAUGGCACUUCUCUGGUUUUAGAGUCAGGCCCGCGGCCCGAAUCUGAUCCAGGACCAUUCCUACAUGUGCUAAGUGUUCCUCCCAGGACUCACUAUGGAUCGCUAUGUCAUCCAGGCUGUUUGCAGCUUGUCUGCUUUAACAGGCUUGAGCACCAUAACCUUUUGUCCUAUACAAAAGCUCCUCCGCCGUGCCCCCUGUCAUACCAGACUUUGUCGCCUCUGGGCCGCCUGGAGGUUAGCCUGGACCGACCUGGCUAGUUGCUCCAUGCGGUCCCUAAGCUCCAGCACAUAGGGUACGAUGGGGACUCCGGCGUUCUCCAUCUCUCCCUCCCAGUGCUCACGGAUAAGGUUCAGGGGGCCCCGCACCUUGCGUCCGUAUAGCAGCUCGAACGGAGAGAAUCCGGUUGUUUCCUGGGGCACCUCCCGGUAAGCGAACAGGAGAUGCGGCUGGAAACGUUCCCAGUCUCUGUAUUUCUGGGUGAAGGUUUUCAACAUUUGUUUGAGGGUUCCAUUGAACCGCUCACAUAAACCAUUCGUCUGCGGGUGGUACGGGGAGCUGAGGAGGGAUUUUAUUUUGCAGACAUGCCAUAACUGCUGUGUCAGUUCCGCCGUAAACUGGGUAACUCUGUCGGAUAGGAUCUCCCGAGUGAAUCCUACCCAAGAGAACACCUGUACCAAGGCAUUAGCCACGGUGUCUGCCUGGAUAUUGGAUAGGGCCACUGCCUCUGGGUAGUGCGUAGCGUAGUCCAUUACCGUGAGAAUAUCUCUCUUACCGGAUGGACUGUGGGUGGCGAGGGGCCCCACCAAGUCGAUGGCGACCCGCCUAAAGGGCUCUUCUAUAAAAGGCAUAUUGACAAGAUGUGCCUUAGGGUGGUCCCCUCUCUUGCCCACCCUUUGGCAGACCUCGCACGUAUUACA